UGGGGAAUUUUGGACAAUGGGCGAAAGCCUGAUCCAGCAAUGCCGCGUGUGUGAAGAAGGCCUUCGGGUUGUAAAGCACUUUUGUCCGGAAAGAAAUCCUUGGCUCUAAUACAGUCGGGGGAUGACGGUACCGGAAGAAUAAGCACCGGCUAACUACGUGCCAGCAGCCGCGGUAAUACGUAGGGUGCAAGCGUACGGAAUUACUGGGCGUAAAGCGUGCGCAGGCGGUUUGCUAAGACCGAUGUGAAAUCCCCGGGCUCAACCUGGGAACUGCAUUGGUGACUGGCAGGCUAGAGUAUGGCAGAGGGGGGUAGAAUUCCACGUGUAGCAGUGAAAUGCGUAGAGAUGUGGAGGAAUACCGAUGGCGAAGGCAGCCCCCUGGGCCAAAUACUGACGCUCAUGCACGAAAGCGUGGGGGAGC
rnacentral:rRNA from 1 species